CGCCGCCGCCGCCGGAUCACUAUCCCUAUGUCGAGCUUUCUGCAAGCCAACUAAAGUUGCAGGCUCGACAAAAAUGGUACACGAUACAGUUUGAUGAUGAUUUUUUUACGAAAAUUUGAGAAUGUGAAUUUUCGCUUUUCUUAUUUAAAUUCCGGAUACAGCAUGCAGUAAUUGCUUGACAUGGGACUUUCAAGCAUGGUUACAUUUCUUACUGAAUUCUGACCCCUAGCUGUUUCUCUUUUCUUUUUUUUGAUGAGUCACUGUCCUUUGACAUAAUCGAAAUGCUAAUACAUAUAAGGAUUUCAGACAUCAGGAAUACAUUACUUUAGAUUUAUUCGGCAAAACCUUUUUUCCGAAAUCUUUGGUUCUGAAUUUCUUUUUGAAGUUCGUACUUCUUUUUGGCCUUUUUAACUUUUUUUAUUUAGGCGUCACUGAUUAUUCUUUGUAGUCGUAAAUCGCGUCUGGCAUACAGCAUUUUUACCCUGGUAUCUUUUUUUAUAUUUACAUAUAUUUUUUUACACAUUUUAUUUAGAGUAUGUUCAGGUAUACAUUAAACUUUUGAAAUAGUUAUCAAAAGUACCAGGAUUAUAAUUUAGUACGC
rnacentral:lncRNA from 1 species